UACCAGAAGUAGGUAGCUUAACCGUAAGGAGGGCGCUUACCACGGUAGGAUUCGUGACUGGGGUGAAGUCGUAACAAGGUAGCCGUAUCGGAAGGUGCGGCUGGAUCACCUCCUUUCUAGA
rnacentral:rRNA from 1 species